GGAUGGGCCCGCGUUGGAUUAGCUAGUUGGUGGGGUAAAGGCUCACCAAGGCGACGAUCCAUAGCUGGUCUUAGAGGAUGAUCAGCCACACUGGGACUGAGACACGGCCCAGACUCCUACGGGAGGCAGCAGUGGGGAAUAUUGGACAAUGGGCGAAAGCCUGAUCCAGCAAUGCCGCGGAGUGAUGAAGGCCCUAGGGUUGUAAAGCUCUUUUACCAGGGAUGAUAAUGACAGUACCUGGAGAAUAAGCUCCGGCUAACUCCGUGCCAGCAGCCGCGGUAAUACGGAGGGAGCUAGCGUGUUCGGAUAUACUGGGCGUAAAGCGCACGUAGGCGGCGUCGUAAGUCAGGGGUGAAAUCCCGGAGCUCAACUCCGGAACUGCCCUUGAAACUGCAAUGCUAGAAUCUUGGAGAGGCGUGGAAUUCCGAGUGUAGAGGUGAAAUUCGUAGAUAUUCGGAAGAACACCAGUGGCGAAG
rnacentral:rRNA from 1 species